AAAAAAUAAUAAAGAAUAUUAAACCUAUAGUUACUAGCUAAAAGACCUCUAAUAACUGGUUUUUGACCACUAACAUACAACAAUACUUUCAAUUUUAUAAACAAUGAGAACAAACUACAAAUUCUAUAGAUUUUGGAAUUGCAAACCAAGUGUAUAAAUCACUAAAUGGGUAUGCAUAUGAAUUACUGUAUGAUACAUACAUUUCAUGUCUAAAUAAAUGCAGUCAUAAAGAUAUUUCAUUUCAAGACCUGCUUGAAGUACGAGUGCUAAAUAUUGAAGAAGUGAUAGUUUAAGACCUAAUGCCCAAAAAUAAAAUGGUUAAUCAUAUACAUCCAAAAAUAUGAGACUCAUUACUGAAAUAUAUAUAUGUCUUGAUGAAAAUCCUAAUUUGUAUGAUAGAAAAAUGAUGGCACAUGUAUCUGUUCUUUUUUUCUAAACUGGCAGAGUGUGAUUCAAAAUUUAUUUGAUGGAUCUAAACUUGUAGGACGCAUAAAUGAAUUAUAUUUCAUGUGGGAAAAAUGAAUUAAAAUAACAUUUAACAAAAGUUAUUUGUCAGGAAUCAUCAUCAAACUCUACCCAAUUGAGGAUGCUGUAAUCAUCGAGAAAAUUUUACUUCUUAAAUUGAAAAAAAAAAAAAA
rnacentral:lncRNA from 1 species